GACGGCAAGCCAGACGCAAGGCUGCGUGCCUAUAAACGUCUCAGGCCAAAAUAUGUCGAGGGGCUUGCACACGCGCAGCGGGACGAUGUUAUUCUGGCC
rnacentral:sRNA from 1 species